rnacentral:rRNA from 1 species
UGGGAAUAUUGGACAAUGGGCGCAAGCCUGAUCCAGCCAUGCCGCGUGAGUGAUGAAGGCCUUAGGGUUGUAAAGCUCUUUCGACGGGGACGAUAAUGACGGUACCCGUAGAAGAAGCCCCGGCUAACUUCGUGCCAGCAGCCGCGGUAAUACGAAGGGGGCUAGCGUUGCUCGGAAUCACUGGGCGUAAAGGGCGCGUAGGCGGACGUUUAAAGUCAGAGGUGAAAGCCCAGGGCUCAACCCUGGAAUGGCCUUUGAUACUGGACGUCUUGAGUCUGGUAGAGGUUGGUGGAACUGCGAGUGUAGAGGUGAAAUUCGUAGAUAUUCGCAAGAACACCGGUGGCGAAGGCGGCCAACUGGACCAGAACUGACGCUGAGGCGCGAAAGCGUGGGGAGCAAAACAGGAUUAGAUACCCUGGUAGUCCACGCCGUAAACGAUGGAUGCUAGCCGUUGGCCGGUUUACCGGUCAGUGGCGCAGCUAACGCGUUAAGCAUCCCGCCUGGGGAGUACGGCCGCAAGGUUAAAAC